rnacentral:rRNA from 1 species
GACGAACGCUGGCGGCGUGCUUCAUACAUGCAAGUCGAACGAGAAGUCACCUUCGGGUGAUGGAAAGUGGCGGACGGGUGAGUAAUGUGUAGAGAAUCUGCCCUUGAGUGGGGGACAACAGUUGGAAACGACUGCUAAUACCCCAUAUGAGCUUAGCUGAAAUGCUAAUCUUGAAAACUCCGGUGCUCAAGGAUGAGUCUGCAUCUGAUUAGCUAGUUGGCGGUGUAAUGGACCACCAAGGCUACGAUCAGUAGCUGGUUUGAGAGGAUGAUCAGCCACAAUGGGACUGAGACACGGCCCAUACUCCUACGGGAGGCAGCAGUAGGGAAUUUUGCGCAAUGGGGGGAAACCCUGACGCAGCAACGCCGCGUGAAUGAUUAAGCCCUUCGGGUGUAAAGUUCUGUCAGUAGGGACGAAACUUGACGGUACCUACAGAGGAAGCACCGGCUAACUCCGUG